rnacentral:rRNA from 1 species
AGUGAACGCUGGCGGUAGGCCUAACACAUGCAAGUCGAACGGCAGCACAGUAAGAGCUUGCUCUUACGGGUGGCGAGUGGCGGACGGGUGAGGAAUACAUCGGAAUCUACUUUUUCGUGGGGGAUAACGUAGGGAAACUUACUCUAAUACCGCAUACGACCUACGGGUGAAAGCAGUGGAUCUUCGGACCUUGCGCGAUUGAAUGAGCCGAUGUCGGAUUAGCUAGUUGGCGGGGUAAAGGCCCACCAAGGCGACGAUCCGUAGCUGGUCUGAGAGGAUGAUCAGCCACACUGGAACGUGGACACGGUCCAGACUCCUGCGGGAGGCAGCAGUGGGGAAUAUUGGACAAUGGGCGCGAGCCUGAUCCAGCCAUACCGCGUGGGUGAAGAAGGCCUUCGGGUUGUAAAGCCCUUUUGUUGGGAAAGAAAAGCAGCAGGUUAAGACCCCGCGGUUCUGACGGUACCCAAAGAAUAAGCACCGGCUAACUUCGUG